UUGCCCAUGGACGAGAGGACCAGGAAGGACGGUCCUCUAGUGUACCGAUUGUUUCGCCAGAAGCACCGCCGGGUAGCUAUGUCCGGAUGUGAUAAGCGCUGAAAGCAUCUAAGCACGAAGCCAACUCCAAGAUAAGAUCUCCCAAAAUGACUUCGGUCAGGAGUAAGGGCCCAGGUAGACUACCUGGUGGAUAGGCCGCAAGUGGAAGUCCGGUAACGGAUGUAGCUGAGCGGUACUAAUAGCCCGAGGACUUGACCCA
rnacentral:rRNA from 1 species